rnacentral:rRNA from 1 species
CAGCAGCCGCGGUAAUACGUAGGGUGCAAGCGUUAAUCGGAAUUACUGGGCGUAAAGCGUGCGCAGGCGGUUAUAUAAGACAGAUGUGAAAUCCCCGGGCUCAACCUGGGAACUGCAUUUGUGACUGUAUAGCUAGAGUACGGCAGAGGGGGAUGGAAUUCCGCGUGUAGCAGUGAAAUGCGUAGAUAUGCGGAGGAACACCGAUGGCGAAGGCAAUCCCCUGGGCCUGUACUGACGCUCAUGCACGAAAGCGUGGGGAGCAAACAGGAUUAGAUACCCGCGUAGUCCCUGUCUCUUAUAA